UGAGUAAUGUCUGGGAAACUGCCUGAUGGAGGGGGAUAACUACUGGAAACGGUGGCUAAUACCGCAUAACGUCGCAAGACCAAAGAGGGGGACCUUCGGGCCUCUUGCCAUCAGAUGUGCCCAGAUGGGAUUAGCUUGUUGGUGAGGUAACGGCUCACCAAGGCGACGAUCCCUAGCUGGUCUGAGAGGAUGACCAGCCACACUGGAACUGAGACACGGUCCAGACUCCUACGGGAGGCAGCAGUGGGGAAUAUUGCACAAUGGGCGCAAGCCUGAUGCAGCCAUGCCGCGUGUAUGAAGAAGGCCUUCGGGUUGUAAAGUACUUUCAGCGGGGAGGAAGGUGUUGUGGUUAAUAACCGCAGCAAUUGACGUUACCCGCAGAAGAAGCACCGGCUAACUCCGUGCCAGCAGCCGCGGUAAUACGGAGGGUGCAAGCGUUAAUCGGAAUUACUGGGCGUAAAGCGCACGCAGGCGGUCUGUCAAGUCGGAUGUGAAAUCCCCGGGCUCAACCUGGGAACUGCAUUCGAAACUGGCAGGCUUGAGUCUUGUAGAGGGGGGUAGAAUUCCAGGUGUAGCGGUGAAAUGCGUAGAGAUCUGGAGGAAUACCGGUGGCGAAGGCGGCCCCCUGGACAAAGACUGACGCUCAGGUGCGAAAGCGUGGGGAGCAAACAGGAUUAGAUACCCUGGUAGUCCACGCCGUAAACGAUGUCUACUUGGAGGUUGUGCCCUUGAGGCGUGGCUUCCGGAGCUAACGCGUUAAGUAGACCGCCUGGGGAGUACGGCCGCAAGGUUAAAACUCAAAUGAAUUGACGGGGGCCCGCACAAGCGGUGGAGCAUGUGGUUUAAUUCGAUGCAACGCGAAGAACCUUACCUGGUCUUGACAUCCACAGAACUUUCCAGAGAUGGAUUGGUGCCUUCGGGAACUGUGAGACAGGUGCUGCAUGGCUGUCGUCAGCUCGUGUUGUGAAAUGUUGGGUUAAGUCCCGCAACGAGCGCAACCCUUAUCCUUUGUUGCCAGCGGUCCGGCCGGGAACUCAAAGGAGACUGCCAGUGAUAAACUGGAGGAAGGUGGGGAUGACGUCAAGUCAUCAUGGCCCUUACGACCAGGGCUACACACGUGCUACAAUGGCGCAUACAAAGAGAAGCGACCUCGCGAGAGCAAGCGGACCUCAUAAAGUGCGUCGUAGUCCGGAUUGGAGUCUGCAACUCGACUCCAUGAAGUCGGAAUCGCUAGUAAUCGUGGAUCAGAAUGCCACGGUGAAUACGUUCCCGGGCCUUGUACACACCGCCCGUCACACCAUGGGAGUGGGUUGCAAAAGAAGUAGGUAGCUUAACCUUCGGGAGGGCGCUUACCACUUUGUGAUUCAUGACUGGGGUGAAGUCGUAACAAGGUAACCGUAGGGGAACCUGCGGUUGGAUCACCUCCUUACCUUAAAGAAGC
rnacentral:rRNA from 1 species